rnacentral:rRNA from 1 species
UACGUAGGGUGCGAGCGUUGUCCGGAAUUAUUGGGCGUAAAGAGCUCGUAGGCGGCCUGUCGCGUCGGAUGUGAAAGCCCGGGGCUUAACCCCGGGUCUGCAUUCGAUACGGGCAGGCUAGAGUGUGGUAGGGGAGAUCGGAAUUCCUGGUGUAGCGGUGAAAUGCGCAGAUAUCAGGAGGAACACCGGUGGCGAAGGCGGAUCUCUGGGCCAUUACUGACGCUGAGGAGCGAAAGCCAGGGGAGCAAACGGG